UGAAGGUAAUUCAUUCAAAUUUUAGUCGUUUACAUCAAAUGUAGGCUAUUCUAUUUAUAUCACUGGUAGUAACGUUCUAAUCCACACCUUUGAUAUAUGCUUCACAAUACAAUAGAUUACAUUAUCAGGAAGUCUGAUAUCAUAAAUUCAAUACGCGCAGUAGGAAAGAAAUUAAAGACUCGGAGUAGAAAAUAAAUUAAAUGCUCGCUGCAUAUGGCAGAUAGUAUAAAUAAUGUAACGAGCAAAAGUGGAACAAGUGAUACGUGAGGUUCGCAAAUGUUGAGUUAAUCCAAAUAAUUAAGAAGAAAGAAUCCAAAUAAGAGAAAAAAAAUUGAACACAGGAGGGUCGAUUGUAAUUUGAUUCAAUUUAUAGCAAUAUCCGUGUUGCUCUAUCGUGUUAUUGCAAGAUGAAAUUUUUCGCCGGUGUUUCUGCUAAUGCUAAUGAUACUCAAUUUGAUAUCACUGAAUUCUUGUCAAAAUAGAAUGUCACAGAUGUACGACAGCGAAGUAUCCGUGCCACGCGAAUAUGUGGAUAUGCCUAUAAGAUCAUGUGCACCGGGUUUCAAAACGGAUCGUUAUGGAAUAUGUCGUGAACGCGUUAGAUAACUGAUAGGUUCAAAGACAUUUCAGCAAUGUCAGCUGAAAAAAAGAUGCAAGAUGGAAUUCUAAGGUACGAUUUGCCAAUUUUCACCCGAUAUUGACUCACAGGCCGACAACUGGCGAUAUCAUGGCAAACCGAUUAUUAUUCAUUCUCUCAGCUGUGACGCGGAAUCGGCUCAGGUAAGAAUUAUCAAUUCUUGUUCGUUGCCGAGUCACAAGCCGGCGUCGGCAGGACUACAACAACCGACAUUCUCUACUCGAUGACGACGCGACGAUGUCGGCCCAAGGAUGCUAUUCUGUACAUGCCUGCCGGACAACUAUCAGACCGUCUUCGGACUCCGGAAAUAGUGUAGAACACCAUAACGGUUGGUGUUUCCACCAAAAACCGCUGUCCAUUGCGACUUUGAAAGAGUGAAUUCGCAUCUUCGAAGCAAUUAGUCUCUUCCUGAUCCUCGACGAGAACAGUCAUAUCUUUUCUGUUCGUGCAACGCCCUAUUAUGAAUCUGACUAAAAGAACAACUGGAAACUCGUGUCCCGAAAGUCACAAGUUGAAUUCUCAGGGAAUAUGUCGUGAACGCAUUAAAUAAUUGACAGGCUUGAAGAUAUCAACAUUUCGGUAAUUUUGAUUGAAAACUAGAAGCGAGAUGGAACUCCAAAAUAUCGUCGACAACUGCAAAAUGACAAAAAUAUUCGGCAUAGCAACGAAUUUUUAAUACA